AGCUCGGGAAAGCUUUCGCAGUGUUCGUUUUCGCAGUAUAAUAAGCAUUGAUAUUUUCCUGAAACAAUUACGAUAAUUUGUUUUACCAGAUUCUUGAUCCAUACCCAAAAUGACGUUGUAUCUCUAAGGGCAGGAAACCACCCGACUCAAAUUGUUUGAAAUUCUUGACUAAAACAACACAAGUGGAAGAAAUGGAUAGAAAGAAGGAAUGAAAGAAAGAGAGGUCCGUUCGAUCUUUUGUUGUUGGUUGCUGAUCAAAGGAUUGUUGAUAGGGAGAGAAUUUUCAUCUGUUCUUUGUUUGUCGGGUUAAAAGAUUAUUCCCAACCACUAUCUUGCUUCAAGUCAUUUUCUUCAGUGAGUACCAGACCCAGCAAGGGUAACCAAAGCACCACAGCAACUUCAUCAUGUACUCAUCAAGUGUGCUUAAUAUCUGGAUGAAGAUUCAUAGUUGAAGGCUACAGACUUUGGCCUGUCAGAUUUUGUGAAACCAGAUGAAAAGUUUAUCAAAAUUUUUGGUAGUACAUACUGUGUAGCCCCCAAAGUGUUACAUAUGGCUUAUGGUACAGAGGCUGAUGUCUGGAGCGUAGGUGUGAUUGCACACAUUCUAUUGUGUGGCAGCUGUCCAUUUUGGCCUUGAACGAAGUUUGGCAUUUUUCGGGCAGUUCUAAAAGUUGAUCCAAGUUUCAAUGAACCUUGGCCACCUUCUCUACAGAGGCAAAAGUAAUUUUGUCAAGCGCCUAUUGAAUCAAGACCCAUGGAAAAGAAUUACCACUGCACAAACGUGAAGUGAGUGCCUUAUCCACUCUCAAAAUGCUUAGUCAUGAACUCAUGAUUAACUUCUGAAACUGUCACUCACUGCUUUCUCUUGCAGGUCAUCCCUGCCUUGAACAUCAUAACACUGUUAAACUUCCUCUGGACAUAAUAAUAUUGAAGCUCAUGAAGGUUUAUAUGCGCUUAUCACCUCUCCGCAAAACUGCUUUAAGGGGAGUUUUUUGCUCAGCUUUCCAGGUUGGUGUAUCAACAUGGUGUCUUAACAUGACAGGGCCGAUUUUUGUAUCUAUGUUCAAACCUUUGGGGAUCGUAGUUGCAGUUGCCACUGGUUUUGGAGUGUAGCAUACUCUUU